rnacentral:rRNA from 1 species
UACGUAGGGUGCAAGCGUUGUCCGGAAUUACUGGGCGUAAAGCGUGCGCAGGCGGUUGUGCAAGACAGAUGUGAAAUCCCCGGGCUCAACCUGGGAACUGCAUUUGUGACUGCAUAGCUAGAGUACGGUAGAGGGGGAUGGAAUUCCGCGUGUAGCAGUGAAAUGCGUAGAUAUGCGGAGGAACACCGAUGGCGAAGGCAAUCCCCUGGACCUGUACUGACGCUCAUGCACGAAAGCGUGGGGAGCAAACAGG